UAUUCUGUAGCGUAGUUGGUUAAAGCGCCGGUCUAGAGAAUAUGGAGUCGUAGGUUCGAAUCCCACCAGAAUGC
rnacentral:tRNA from 1 species